rnacentral:rRNA from 1 species
GACGAACGCUGGCGGCGUGCCUAAUACAUGCAAGUAGAACGCUGAGGGAGGAGCUUGCUUCUCUGGAUGAGUUGCGAACGGGUGAGUAACGCGUAGGUAACCUGCCUGGUAGCGGGGGAUAACUAUUGGAAACGAUAGCUAAUACCGCAUAAUAGCAGUUGUUGCAUGACAACUGUUUGAAAGGUGCAAUUGCACCACUACCAGAUGGACCUGCGUUGUAUUAGCUAGUUGGUGGGGUAACGGCUCACCAAGGCGACGAUACAUAGCCGACCUGAGAGGGUGAUCGGCCACACUGGGACUGAGACACGGCCCAGACUCCUACGGGAGGCAGCAGUAGGGAAUCUUCGGCAAUGGACGGAAGUCUGACCGAGCAACGCCGCGUGAGUGAAGAAGGUUUUCGGAUCGUAAAGCUCUGUUGUAAGAGAAGAACGAGUGUGAGAGUGGAAAGUUCACACUGUGACGGUAUCUUACCAGAAAGGGACGGCUAACUACGUG